AAUUCCCGAAAUAGGUCGAAAACAUGAUUUCUUAACACCUAUGCAGGAUUCAAUAACUACCCAACCCAAAUCCUACUAAUCAACAUGCAUUCACAUUCUCGAGCUCAAUCUAAGAGAGGAAAACCGUAGCCUACCUGUAGGCCGAUCACACGCGCUCCAAAAUCACUCCUUCGGAGCUUUCCCUUUUUGAACGGUCUCGAAACGCUUCCCUGCUAUCAAAAAUAGAAUCAC
rnacentral:lncRNA from 1 species